AGUGAACGCUGGCGGUAGGCCUAACACAUGCAAGUCGAACGGCAGCACAGUAAGAGCUUGCUCUUACGGGUGGCGAGUGGCGGACGGGUGAGGAAUACAUCGGAAUCUACUAUUUCGGGGGGGAUAACGUAGGGAAACUUACGCUAAUACCGCAUACGACCUACGGGUGAGAGCAGGGGAUCUUCGGACCUUGCGCGAUUGAAUGAGCCGAUGUCGGAUUAGCUAGUUGGCGGGGUAAAGGCCCACCAAGGCGACGAUCCGUAGCUGGUCUGAGAGGAUGAUCAGCCACACUGGAACUGAGACACGGUCCAGACUCCUACGGGAGGCAGCAGUGGGGAAUAUUGGACAAUGGGCGCAAGCCUGAUCCAGCCAUACCGCGUGGGUGAAGAAGGCCUUCGGGUUGUAAAGCCCUUUUGUUGGGAAAGAAAAGCAGCAGGUUAAUCCCCCGCUGUUCUGACGGUACCCAAAGAAUAAGCACCGGCUAACUUCGUG
rnacentral:rRNA from 1 species